UGAACAUUGAGCCUUGAUGUGUAGGAUAGGUGGGAGGCUUUGAAGCGUGGACGCCAGUCUGCGUGGAGCCAACCUUGAAAUACCACCCUUUAAUGUUUGAUGUUCUAACGUUGGCCCCUUAUCGGGGUUGCGGACAGUGUCUGGUGGGUAGUUUGACUGGGGCGGUCUCCUCCCAAAGCGUAACGGAGGAGCACGAAGGUUAGCUAAUCCUGGUCGGACAUCAGGAGGUUAGUGCAAUGGCAU
rnacentral:rRNA from 1 species